CCCUACUGCUGCUGCUGUUGUGCCUGUGGCACAGUUAUGAUAUGAAAAAAUAAAAAAAAAUACUUAGUAUCUCAGAUGUCUCCAAAUCUUUUGUACGUCGAUUAGUCGGUGUUUGACUUGGCUUCCGAUCACAAGAGUCUUCUGAACCUCAACCCUCAUUCUGGUUUACGCGGAUAAAAAAUAUAAAGAGUCCAAACUAAAUGAAAGUGUGUAAAAGUAUUUCUCUGAUUCAAUCGUUCUUGCGUUGCGUUGACAAAGACGUCGCGUCGUCGUCGUCUAUCUCUUAGUCGGAAAACACCACUCGAACUUUAAGAGACGAACAACAAUCGAAUGUUCUGAUGACUAGAAAUUACGUUUGGCAGAUUUAUAGUUACUAUUAGUUAGUAACUGAAGGGUGCUUGUUUAAGAGAGAGGUGCUAAUGCGUCUAGCAAACAAAUAAUAUUUUUUUUUGUUAUGCAAAAUAUCGUCGGCGGCGGCGGCAGUGGUGACGGUAGUGAUCGGUGGGAUUUGUGAUUCUACUUAGUGCAGUUAAGUGAUUUUGAAAAGAUCUCUUUAAAAAUCGAUUAAAUUACGACAGUCGACUUGUAUUUAUAGAAAAAUUAAUAGUUCAAGAUUUUUUUUUUUUUGAGAUGCGAAAUGGAAAUGAGAUGUGCUAACUAAAAGUUUAAUUUAUUUAAAUAAAAAUACAAAAUAUUGUAAUUUCGUACCUGGUUACUACAUUUCCACUGAACUUCGAGACAUUCCAGAGACUUUUAGUCUCAUCACCAGCAUCAUGAAAUUCAACAUAUUUUCGAAGCCCAACAAAACCGAUGAUCCUGCAAAUGAAAAAUCCAUUUCAGAUAAUCCAAAUGCCGAAAAGAAACCACUUCGUAGACAAAUAACCAUUGAAGAAGAACCCGAUUCAUUAGAUAGUGUAAUAAGUAAUCCAGAUUCAUUUCCAAUAACAAUUGUACCCAGUCGACCAGCAAGCAUUUAUAGAUAUUCAGCGAAUGGCAAUGGCAAAACUUUUAAUCGUCAAGGUAGUUGCAGAAGUCGCAAUUUCCGUCCAGGAAGUAUGCGAAAAAUUCGCCGCAGAGCAGUCCUCAAGAAUGGCGAAUGCAACGUCCUGCAGAAGAAUUUAGCCAAAAGAAGAAUUCGCUUCCUUCAGGAUAUCUUUACCACUCUCGUUGAUAGUCAAUGGAGAUGGACACUGUUAGCAUUUGCUUUGAGUUUCAUGCUAUCUUGGGGAAUGUUUGCAGUCAUUUGGUGGCUUAUUAUGUUUACACAUGGCGAUUUUGAAGAGCUUCAUUUGCCAGACAAUCAAGAUGAAAGCGGUUGGCAACCCUGUGUCUCAGCAAUUUACUCCUUUACAUCUUGUUUCUUGUUUUCGAUUGAAACCCAACAUACCAUUGGAUAUGGUGGUCGAUCAACAAAUGAGGAAUGUCCUGAAGCAGUUUUCAUGAUGUGUUUCCAAUCCAUGUACGGAGUUAUGAGUCAGGCAUUUAUGGCAGGAAUAGUCUUUGCAAAGAUGACCCGUCCGCGACAGAGAACACAAACUUUACUAUUUUCAAAGAACGCUGUGAUCUGUCAGCGAGACGGAUCCCUUGCUUUGAUGUUCCGAGUGGGAGAUAUGAGAAAGAGCCAUAUUAUUGGUGCCAAUGUACGAGCUCAAUUGAUUCGUACGAAAACUUCAAAAGAGGGAGAAGUAAUGACACAACAUUUCACCGAACUCGAAAUAGGCACUGAUGAGUGUGGUUCUGAUAUUUUCUUUAUUUGGCCAAUGGUGAUUACCCACAGGAUCACCGAGGAUUCACCGCUGUACAAUAUGUCUGCGACAGAUCUGAUACAAGAAAAGUUCGAAAUUGUUGUGAUCCUUGAGGGAACAGUAGAAUCCACCGGUCAGACUACCCAAGCUCGAUCGAGUUAUGUAAAUACUGAGAUCCUUUGGGGACAUCGAUUUGAUCCUGUUGUGGUUUAUAACAAAGAUCGUCAAGCUUAUGAAAUUGACUAUCAGCGUUUCAAUGAAACCACCCAAGUUGACACUCCAUUGUGUAGUUCAAGGGAACUGGGUGAAUACUAUAAAAUUCAAGAUGGCCUUAGGACUCCUGAAAAAACAACCUUUACCAUGCGUCAGCUAUCAUUGAAUCCAUCUGAACAUUCUGCAUCAGCUUGAGGUUGAUUUUUAUGUUUGUGUUGUUUUUGAGGUCUUGCUUUAUAUUGUGUCUUCUUCCUGGGAUGUGUUUUAAUAUAAUUUAUUAUAGUCAUUUUAAUAAUUGAACAAUGUUGUAUUAUGUCCUCUUGUUGCUGUCCUAGUGAAUGUUUUUGUUAUUUUUUUUGUUUAAAGCUGGAAGGAAUUUAUGAAAGAAUAUCCAUUAAUAACAAGACCUCGAUCAACUGAAUUGAAAAGGAAAUCAUUUUAUUGGAGAACGAAUAUAACGAGUCAAUAUCGUUGUGAUAUGUAUUUGAAUGGAUUAAGA